rnacentral:lncRNA from 1 species
CCUCAUCCACGGACUAUAUCCAUCCCUAGCGGCCACCGCCAGCUCUAGCCAUAUGCCACAAAUCCAUCAGCCCUAGAACAACUCGAGGAACAUUCGACCUACAUGGCUAUCCCAGCUGCUGUCCCCCACCGGCUCCUCCCAGGAAAGUUCCGGAGACUCCUUCACGCCAAAAGUCAAUGGAGACCCACCUUGAUAUGGCAGUGACGUUACGGCUGCCAACCGUAAAGACAAAUCUCCCUUGAUACCGGUCAACCUAACGACAGUUUCAAUAAUGCGGAUGGCCUACAAUACGACCCUAUAAGCUCCGCUCAUAAGGGACCCCUAUGUCCCCCGGGAUUUGAACACUUCUGAAAAAAUCAGGGCCCACCCCAUACCUACGCUCAACGGUCAUCUGAGAUGGUCCAAGACAGAGCCACUGCAUAUGAUGCGGGACCAUCCAACCUCCGCCCAUGGGCCGUAAUGCCUACUAAGGCCUAAUCCUGACAUCCAAUGCCGCCUAUCGUGGAAUCUACUGAAGCCCAGGCCCAUAUCAGCUUUCUGGAGCUAUAAUAUACACACACAUGCCAAGGAUAAGGAAGCAGACCCUAGACAAGGCCAAAAUCCAUCCGUUCUGAGCCCGAUCCUUAGAUAUCUCUCCAAGGUUGGUGCAAUGGGUGAUGCAUCUACCCAGACUUAGGUGAUCCCUACCAAGAACGUUUCGGAAACGAAAGCAAGCAACCCCAACAAGGUGGCCGAUCGAAAGUGAACCAGCAAGUAAAAAGAGGAAGCUACAUCAGGAUGAAGUUAGUACAACUCUUCAGCUUGUCUCUCUGUCCAUAUCCCCUCCUAUAGCCAAAGUACCAAGGCCAAGAAUCUCAAAAUCCAAUUGUCCAGAAACAGAGGCAAACAGAGAAUGAUUAGUGUAAGUGAAAUCUAUGACAAAACUGAGAUACAAGAAACUGUUGUAGAGGAGGCGGUGACCAACCGUAUGCCACCACGCCAGGAUUGAAUGUCCUAGCUUGGAAUUGUAGGGGUGCAGAGCGAACCCUUACAAUCGAUCAUCUCCGAGAUCUUAACCGGAGCUCUCGCCCCGGGAUUGUUUUCCUAUCCGAAACCAAGAACGACGAUGAUUACAUGGAGAGGAAACGGUUCCAACUUGACUUUGCCAACUUUUACUAUGUGAGUCCUGCCUGUAUCAUUGAAGGAUUAUCACUAUGGUGGGUUAACGGUAUUAGUAUUAGAAUAAUCUCCUCCUCGAGGAACUAUAUCCAUGUUUUCAUAGACUACGAGGGUGCUUCUUUUGUACGUUUGUGUAUGCUCCCAAUAAUCCUAGUGCGAGAAGAGAUUAUUGGGACGUUAUUUCUAAUCUCCAUAGGGGCGAUAGCCCGUGAGUUAUAAUAGGAGAUAUUAAUGCAAUUUCUUUUAGUUACGAG